GAGGCGGAGCAGUCCUCGAAGAGUUCAGCUGGAGCUGAAGAAGCCGCAAGGAAACGUGGGACACGACCUCUAUUUAAUGAAGCCAGGUCCUAUCUCUUCGGAAGUAGACAAGGACUCCGGCAUGGCUUCUUACCUCAGCCAGAAGCUUUCGACCCUGGGUACAAAACCAAAAGGCUGGUUCCCUCGGAGCCAAACAGGAAUCUUUCAGAAGCCGAACAGAUGAAUGAGAUUAACCAGGAGGAUUUAUGCAGGGGAGCUGCUCUGUGAUGUGGAAGCAGCUGUGUGAUGGUGAGAAAGGGGCUGGAGGAUUCUGGGGUUUGAUGGUAUCAGAUUCUGAUAGCCUCAAACCUCCAAAUCCCUUGGCUGGCCCCUAGUACA